rnacentral:rRNA from 1 species
GACGAACCGUGCGAACGUUAUUCGGAAUCACUGGGCUUAAAGCGCGUGUAGGCGGGCCGGCACGUCGGUCGCUGAAAUCCCGCGGCUCAACCGCGGAAGGGGCGCCGAUACGACCGGCCUGGAGGGGGGUAGGGGGCGCCGGAACUCACGGUGGAGCGGUGAAAUGCGUUGAGAUCGUGAGGAACGCCCGUGGCGAAAGCGGGCGCCUGGACCCCGCCUGACGCUGAGACGCGAAAGCCAGGGGAGCGAACGGGG